CUGAGAUCUGGUGCCCACUCAGAGACGGUGUAGCUGUCCUCUAUACAGACCCUGGGUGAGACUAUUUAUGCCUCCCUGUCCUGCUGUGCAUCACUUGGAGACCUCACAAGAAAAGGCACCUGUGGAAAUAGAAUAUGAUUGAGGUAUCUUGGGAUAUUUCACCACAACAGCAAGAGCUGCUGGAUUUUCCUGAGGAAGCAACAGAUCCUCUGCAGGGCAGAGCCUACCUUGUGCUUGGCUGUUGUGCCUUCCAAAUGGGUCCGGUUUGGAUUCCAGAUGCAAAGCAUCAGUGUGCCUCUCCCUGCCAUGGGCCUGGACUGACCACCACCACCACCUCUCAGUGAGACAUGCUCCUCCACUGCCUGGGUGUCACCCUGUGCUCAAAGCUGGUCACUUCCCAGGGCUCUAGUCCUGCUCCUGGCUGAACUGUGUUAUCUUCUCACAACAUUAAGAGGAAACAGGAUCAGAAGUGAUAAAUGCAUUGGCAGAAGUCCUACAGCAAGAUCUACCCCGCAGAGAGGACUGAACGUUGCCGCUGGUUAUUGCCUUCAUCUGAGCUCCUGUGGCAGAUAUCCAGGCAAUGAAUCCAACCAGCCCUGCUCCAUUAAUGAACCCUGAGAAGAUCAAAGAUGGAAGCACAAGAUGAAGUGUCUGCUUUACAGCUCUUAAAAGCUUAAGAAAAAUGAAAACACAUACAAGGAACCGAUAUGAGGCCAAUUUUACCGAAGAUGGAAAACUAAACUCAAAGGUGAGAUUUUGUGCCAGACAAUGUUUCUUUGUGACUACAUUUCAUCUUCCUUCCUCAGAUGCAUUAUGAUAAAAUCUAAUUAUAGCAUUACACAAUUUUCCCCAGACAGUUUUUUUUUUUUUUUUUUUUUUUUUUUUGAAGCAGCACAGCCAAUAUUUAUUUUUUUAUUCACUUCUUUUUGUUCAGCUUUUUUGUUUGUCUGCUGUUUCGGGUUUUAUUGCCUACACUACUCAGACAAGGACCGAUCUCUCUUCAAGUUAAUGAAGGCCAUGGAAUUCAGUUGUUGGAUCGUGACAGGACCCAUCCCACCUAGCAGAGAGGUGCAGGAGGUGGCUGGGAAGCAGUCACUGCCAGGGUCUGAUGGCAGCCCUCCUGAAGGAUGGUUCUUCCAUGAGGAGAGAUGGCACCACUCCAGGUCUCCACGUAUUGAGGGUGUAGGGUUUUACAGACAGUUUACUCAUCCACCACCUGCAUUAAGGAGAAUGGGCUCCAUCCUGCUCUUCCCCAGGCGUCUCUCUGCUACUCACCCGGUAGAGCCAUUCUCAGCUACAGAGGCCCCUUCACCACCAAUCUGGUAAGGAAUUAUCUUCUCCUUUCUAAUCACAAUUCAUUAAGUCAUUGGUAUAUAUUAUUAGCUUCUAAUUUAUGCUCAUGUUUGUGUCUCCUUUUGCAGUAGAAGUUAGACUUUGGUACAAUUCUUUCUUAUUUUCUGUUUCUCAAUUUUUCUCCAUGCAUAUACAGACAGUAACUGCC
ensembl:lncRNA